CAGUAGCCGCGGGAAUACAGAGGUCUCGAGCGUUGUUCGGAUUCAUUGGGCGUAAAGGAUGCGUAGGUGGCGGUGUAAGUCUAACGUGAAAUCUCGGGGCUCAACCUCGAAAUUGCGUCGGAUACUGCAUUGCUAGAGGAUUGUAGAGGAGAGUGGAAUUCAUGGUGUGGCAGUGAAAUGCGUAGAUAUCAUGAGGAAGACCAGUUGCGAAGGCGACUCUCUGGGCAAUUCCUGACACUGAGGCACGAAGGCUAGGGGAGCAAACGGGAUUAGAUACCCCCGUAGUCCCUGUCUCUUAUAC
rnacentral:rRNA from 1 species